rnacentral:rRNA from 1 species
CCUACGGGAGGCAGCAGUAGGGAAUUUUGCGCAAUGGGCGAACGCCUGACGCAGCAACACCGCGUGAAUGUUAAGCCCUUCGGGGUGUAAAGUUCUGUCAAUAGGGACGACUUUUGACUCUACCUAUAAAGGAAGCACCGGGUAACUCCGUGCCAGCAGCCGCGGUAAUACGGGGGGUGCAGGCGUUGUCCGGAAUCAUUGGGGGUAAAGCGUUCGUAGGUGGCAAGGUAAGUCUAAUGUUAAAGCCCGGGGCUCAACUCCGGUUCGGCAUUGGAAACUAUCUAUCUAGAAUGUGGUAGAGGUAAAGGGAAUGCGUGGUGUAGCGGUGAAAUGCGUAGAUAUCAGGAGGAACAUCGAUGGCGAAGGCGCUUUACUGGCGCAUAAUUGACGCUGAGGAACGAAAGCCUGGGGAGCAAAUGGGAUUAGAUACCCCUGUAGUC